UCCAGCUGUGUCCCCUCCCAUCUCCUUGUGCCCCCCAGCCUUCUCAGUGGUGUGGUGUGAGAAGCUGAAAAGUCCUUGACUCAGAGGAGAGCACCUCCGCAGCUUUGAUACAGCUCAUCAUCAAACCAAGCUGGAAUUGACACCAUUGAAGUUCAAGAGAAUCUUCCUUAUUGUUUCCCAAUAGUUUUAUGGUUAUCAAAGGCUUAAAAGCAGGACAAAAGCAAGAAGUCAGCCAAGUUUAUUCCAGUUUCCUGAAUAACUCUGCAUUUUGGAGCUCUAAAGUCCUGUGCCCAGCAUAGGAUGAUGUGCACGUCUGAGAUGUAAACAAAAAUGAAUGAUUAAAACAGAAACAUGCCAUUUU